GAAGUCGCCGCCCCGGCCGCCCCUCUGCCAGCUGCUCCAGCGCCACCUCGGGCCGGCGUCUCCGGCAGGCGGGAGCCAGGCGCUGACGGGUGCGGCGGGGGCGGCCGAGCGCUCCUGCGGCUCCGGCUCCGGCUCUGCGCGGGCGGCGGCUUCCUGGCUUCUCCAUGGGGCUGGCCUGCGGCGCCCGGAUACUCUGAGAAUGUUUCCGCUGUUGCUCGGAGGACACACGCAGUGGGAUUCAGAAUUCCUGGAGAAUUGCCUUUGUGAGAAGCUGGAAGUAUUUCUUUUUAAAUUCCAUCUCUUAGUUUUUCAAAGAAACAUCAAGAAACCAUGAACAACAUUAGUAAUGAAGAGUUUGACUGCCACUUGCUUGAUGAAGGUUUUACUGCCAAGGAUAUUCUGGACCAAAAAAUCAAUGAAGUUUCCUCUUCUUCAAAUGUAAUGACAGUAGAGCCAUUGUGAAGACCCUCGCUGCCAUUGGGACAGGAUUUGACUGUGCCAGCAAGACUGAAAUACAAUUGGUGCAGAGUCUCAGAGUGCCUCCAGAGAGGAUUAUCUAUGCAAAUCCUUGUAAACAAGUGUCUCAAAUUAAGUACGCUGCCAAUAAUGGAGUCCAGAUGAUGACUUUUGACAGUGAAGUUGAGUUGAUGAAAGUUGCCAGAGCACAUCCAAAGGCCAAGUUGGUUUUGUGGAUUGCCACUGAUGAUUCCAAAGCAGUCUGUCGACUCAGUGUUAAAUUUGGUGCCACACUCAAAGCCAGCAGACUUCUUUUGGAACGGGCAAAAGAGCUAAAUAUUGAUGUCAUUGGUGUCAGCUUCCACGUAGGAAGUGGCUGUACUGAUCCUGAGACCUUCGUGCAGGCAAUCUCUGAUGCCCGCUGUGUCUUUGACAUGGGAGCUGAGGUUGGUUUCAGCAUGUACCUGCUUGAUAUUGGCGGUGGCUUUCCUGGAUCUGAGGAUGUGAAGCUUAAAUUUGAAGAGAUCACUGGUGUAAUCAACCCAGCAUUGGACAAGUACUUUCCAUCAGACUCUGGAGUGAGAAUCAUAGCUGAGCCAGGCAGAUAUUAUGUUGCAUCAGCUUUCACACUUGCAGUUAAUAUCAUUGCCAAAAAACUUGUAUUAAAGGAACAGAUAGGCUCUGAUGAUGAAGAUGAGUCCAGUGAACAAACCUUUAUGUAUUACGUGAAUGAUGGAGUAUAUGGAUCAUUUAAUUGCAUCCUUUAUGAUCAUGCUCAUGUAAAGCCUCUUCUGCAAAAGAGACCUAAACCAGAUGAGAAGUAUUAUUCAUCCAGCAUAUGGGGACCAACAUGUGAUGGCCUUGACCGGAUUGUUGAGCGCUGUGACCUGCCAGAAAUGCAUGUGGGCGACUGGAUGCUCUUUGAAAAUAUGGGUGCUUACACUGUAGCUGCUGCUUCUACUUUCAAUGGAUUCCAGAGGCCGACUAUCUACUAUGUGAUGUCAGGACUGACGUGGCAACUCAUGCAACAAAUCCAGAACCCCAACUCCCUACCUGAAGUAGAAGAGCAGGAUGCUGGCACUCUGCCUGUGUCUUGUGCUUGGGAAAGUGGAAUGAAACGUCCCCCAGCAACUUGUGCUUCAGCCAGUAUUAAUGUGUAGAUAUCAUUCUGUAGCUGUUCACUGCGAGUUUAGCUUGAAUGAAGGGAUUUGGGGGGACCAUUUAACUUAAUUAUUUCUAGUUUUGAAAUGUCUUUGUAAGAGUAGAGUUGGCACUGAUGCAGCAAUAUGUAAGAUUAGGAGAUGGGGUCACACUUAUCUGUGUUCCUAUGGAAACUAUUUGAAUAUUUGUUUUAUAUGGAUUUUUAUUCACUUUUCAGACAUGCUAUGAAAGAGCGCCUCUCCGCUGCUCAGCAAGCAUUUGUAGCUUGUACAGUGGCAGAAUGGGCCAAAAGCUUAGUGUUGUGACCUGUUUUAAGAAUAAAGUAUCUUGAAAUAAAAAAAAAAAAAAAA